GUGCCAGCCGCCGCGGUAAUACGGAGGGUGCGAGCGUUGUCCGGAAUCAUUGGGUGUAAAGGGUGCGCAGGCGGAUUGUUAAGUCUGAGGUGAAAUCUUACCGCUCAACGGUAAACGUGCCUUGGAUACUGGCAAUCUUGAGUAUGAUAGAGGUCGGUGGAAUUCGUAGUGUAGCGGUGAAAUGCAUAGAUAUUACGAAGAACACCAGUGGUGAAAACGGCCGGCUGGAUCAUAACUGACGCUCAGGCACGAGAGCGUGGGGAGCGAACAGGAUUAGAUACCCCAGUAGUCC
rnacentral:rRNA from 1 species